ACUCUUGAAUCUGCUACUGCUUUUAGCCAAAUCACUUUUGAUUUUAUAAAACAAGUUGACUAAAGAAAACUGGAUUUAAUAGUGUGACAAAAUUAUUUAUUUACAAUUACUUCCAAUAUUAGUUUGCAAUCAUCAUGAUGGUUAAUUUUUGUGUCAACUUGAUUGGGCUAAAGGGUGCCCCAGAGAGCUGGUAAAAAUUAUUUCUGGAGGUAUCAGUAAGGGUGUUUCCUGAAAAGAUUAGCACUUGGAUCAGGAUCAGUAGACUAAAGAAGAUUGUCUCCACCCAUGCACUGUGGGCCCAAAUAGGACUCAAAGGGAGAGAAAGGGCAAAUUUUCUCUCUCUGCUUGAGCUGGGACAUCUAUUUCCUUCUGCCCUUGUACUUCAGUGCUCCCAGUUCUUACGCCCUUUGACUCAGACUCUGGGACUUACUCCAUUGGCUGUGCUGCUUUUCAAGCCUUUGUGUUUGCAAUGAAAUUACACCACCAGCUUUCCUGGGCUUCCAGCUCAAAAAAGGCAGACAGUGAGACUCUCAGCCUCCAUAAUCGUCAUACACUUACUGACUGCCAACUUCAUGAUUAUCUAUGUGCCAGGACUGGGACUUACACAGGCACUACAGAUAAGACUCUGCUCUCGUGGUGAUGCAACAUUGUGAGCCUUGUGCAGGGAGAAAGAAAAUGAACAAUAAACAGAUGAAAUGAUUUCAGUUAUUGAUAAACACUACGAAAAAAUUAAAUCGUGGCAGUGAGACGCAGAGUAACAGUGAUGGUUCAGGAAUAUAUAGUGGCCAGUGAGGGUGGAGGAUGGCAAAUAGUGAGAUGAGUCGUACAAGACAAGGAUGGAGAUGUAGGUAGGGGCCUGAUGGCCUGUGUUUUAAUAAAAAGAGGUAUUCUAAACAGAAAAUGAACGAUAAAUGAAGAAAUCUUGUAUCAUAGGAAGGAAGAAAGAAUAUAGCAAAAAUUGGCAAACACCACCCUGUUCAGUCAACAGCUGUCAACAACAUGAAGACAAGACCCUUGCCCAGGAAAAAAAUUACAACUGACUGAAAGCUAAGGUUCCAAGUUCUUCCCUGCAUCAUGCAACCUCUGAAAUCUGUUCAGCCCUCAGCCUACUGGUAGCUGUGAGGAUGGUCUCCGGGAAUCUCACUCUGUGAAUCUGCAGCUCAGGAGUUGGCCAAGAACCAGAGGAAAUUUUUGUGCAGUUUUUAUGGUUCUUUCCCUGUGGAUCCUCCCUCUCUAGAACUCCCCCCCAAAGUCCAGCUGUGCUGGCAGCCUCAAGUGGUGAUCUCAGUUCACUUCCAGAAAGAAGACUGCUCUCUGCUUGGACUCCUUUUCUCUGAUUGGAUUGGACUGUAAAACUACCUCAAGUAUGUUGUAUGCUAUCCGGAGUCAAGGAUCUCAGACUCAUCAUCUUUAUUUUAAAAGCAAGAUGUAAGUUUAAAACCCAAACAUUUUAAGUCAAAAAUUUGAGAGUAAGAAACAAUAUGAGGGACAUAAACAUUUGGAUUUUAGGCAAUGAGACUCCAGUAAUCACUUGGUGGUUUUAUCAGAAUUAAAAAAUGUAACAGACUGAAUUUGCCCAUUAUGAGUCUCGACCAUUUUAUCAUGGAUAGUAAAGAUUUUAAUACAAAAAUUUGGGAAAGGAUAUAGAAUUUAAGUCCUUAAACUCAUGAAUCCCAUGAUGAAAAACUCAUCAUUUUUCAUGCUGAGACUACUUUCCUGAAUGUUUUUUUAAGAUGACUGACACACAGACAGAACAGUUGAUGUGAUUUGAUUUCAGUCUGUUUCUCUCUGAUAUGCACCUGUGACUAAUACUCUGAGUAAUAGUCUUGGUUGUCUGAAAUUUAAAGUGUUUUGGGGGAUUUUAAGAAAUACUAGAAUGAUAC